rnacentral:rRNA from 1 species
GAUGAACGCUGGCGGCGUGCCUAAUACAUGCAAGUAGAACGCUGAAGGAGGAGCUUGCUCUUCUGGAUGAGUUGCGAACGGGUGAGUAACGCGUAGGUAACCUGCCUGGUAGCGGGGGAUAACUAUUGGAAACGAUAGCUAAUACCGCAUGACAACAGUUAUUGCAUGAUAACUGUUUAAAAGGGGCAACUGCUCCACUACCAGAUGGACCUGCGUUGUAUUAGCUAGUUGGUGAGGUAACGGCUCACCAAGGCGACGAUACAUAGCCGACCUGAGAGGGUGAUCGGCCACACUGGGACUGAGGCACGGCCCAGACUCCUACGGGAGGCAGCAGUAGGGAAUCUUCGGCAAUGGACGGAAGUCUGACCGAGCAACGCCGCGUGAGUGAAGAAGGUUUUCGGAUCGUAAAGCUCUGUUGUAAGAGAAGAACGAGUGUGAGAGUGGAAAGUUCACACUGUGACGGUAUCUUACCAGAAAGGGACGGCUAACUACGU